rnacentral:rRNA from 1 species
UGGGGGAAACCCUGACGCAGCAACGCCGCGUGAAGGAUGAAGGCCUUUGGGUCGUAAACUUCUGUCAGAGGGAAGAAAUGCCCGAAAGGAGCUGACGGUACCCUCAAAGGAAGCACCGGCUAACUCCGUGCCAGCAGCCGCGGUAAUACGGAGGGUGCAAAGCGUUGUUCGGAAUUAUUGGGCGUAAAGCGCAUGUAGGCGGUUUGUUAAGUCUGGUGUGAAAGCCCGGGGCUCAACCCCGGAAGUGCAUUGGAUACUGGCAGACUUGAGUAUGGGAGAGGAAAGUGGAAUUCCGAGUGUAGGAGUGAAAUCCGUAGAUAUUCGGAGGAACACCAGUGGCGAAGGCGGCUUUCUGGACCAAUACUGACGCUGAGAUGCGAAAGCGUGGGGAGCAAACAGGAUUAGAUACCCUGGUAGUCCACGCCGUAAACGAUGGGCACUAGGUGUUGCGGGUAACCACUCCUGCAGUGCCGUAGCUAACGCAUUAAGUGCCCCGCCUGGGGAGUACGGCCGCAAGGCUA